GAUGAACGCUGGCGGCGUGCCUAAUACAUGCAAGUCGAGCGAACAGACGAGGAGCUUGCUCCUCUGACGUUAGCGGCGGACGGGUGAGUAACACGUGGAUAACCUACCUAUAAGACUGGGAUAACUUCGGGAAACCGGAGCUAAUACCGGAUAAUAUAUUGAACCGCAUGGUUCAAUAGUGAAAGACGGUUUUGCUGUCACUUAUAGAUGGAUCCGCGCCGCAUUAGCUAGUUGGUAAGGUAACGGCUUACCAAGGCAACGAUGCGUAGCCGACCUGAGAGGGGGAUGGGCAACACUGGAACUGAGAAACGGGCAAAAAACCUACGGGAGGAAGAAGGGGGGAAUUGUCCGAAAGGGGCGAAAGCCUGAAGGGGCAACGCCGGGGGAGUGAAAAAGGGCUUCGGAUCGUAAAACGCUUUUAUUAGGGAAAAAAAAAGGUGAAAAUAAAUAUGCACGUCUGGGCGGUACCAAAUAAGAAAGCCACGGCUAACUACGU
rnacentral:rRNA from 1 species